rnacentral:rRNA from 1 species
GACGAACCGUGCAAACGUUGUUCGGAAUCACUGGGCAUAAAGGGCGGCGUAGGCGGUCGGUCAAGUCUGGGGUGAAAUCUUUCGGCUCAACCGGAAACGUGCCCCGGAUACGGAUCGGCUGGAGGGAGGUAGGGGUCGACGGAACUUCCGGUGGAGGCGGUGAAAUGCGUAGAUAUCGGAAGGAACACCGGUGGCGAAAGCGGUCGACUGGACCUUUUCUGACGCUGAGGCGCGAAAGCCAGGGGAGCAAACGGG